rnacentral:rRNA from 1 species
UAAGGAACAUGACUUUCGGCGGGGGAUAGCCGGCCCAACGGCCGGGUAAUACCGCGUACGACCACUUUGGGACAUCCCUCGGUGGUGAAAGCAGCAAUGCGCCGAUGGAGUGCCUCGCGGCCUAUCAGCUAGUUGGUGAGGUAACGGCUCACCAAGGCGACGACGGGUANCUGGUCUGAGAGGAUGGCCAGCCACAUUGGGACUGAGACACGGCCCAGACCUCCGUACGGGGAGG